rnacentral:lncRNA from 1 species
GUCCCUGUGCCCAAGAACACUAAGGUAACCUGUCUAAAUGACUACAGACCCGUAGCACUCACGUCUGUAGCCAUGAAAUGCUUUGAAAGGCUGGUCAUGGCUCACAACACCAUUAUCCCAGAAACCCUAAACCCACUCCAAUUUGCAAACUGCCCCCAACAGAUCCACAGAUGAUGCAGUCUCUAUUGCACUCCACACUGCCCUUUCACACCUGGACAAUAGGAACACUUAUGUGAGAAUGCUAUUCAUUGACUACAGCUCAGCAUUCAACACCAUAGUGCCCUCAAAUCUCAUCACUAAGCUAAGAAGGAGCCUGGGACUAAACAGAGGGUAGUGCGUACGGCCCAGUAUAUCACUGGUGCAAAGCUUCCUGCCAUCCAGGACCUCCUAUACCAGGCGGUGUAUAAAAAUUGUCAAAGACUCCAGCCAUCCUAGUCAUAGAAUGUUCUCUCUGCUACCGCACGGCAAACAGUACCGGAGCGCCAAAUCUAGGUCCAAAAUACUUCUUAACAGCUUCUACCCCCAAGCCAUGAGACUCCUGAAUAGCUACUGCUGCUCUUUAAUUAUUUUUUUACUUAACCAACAAUGCUGUUUUAAGAAAAAAAAAGAAGUUAAGGGCUUGUAAGUAAGCAUUUCACUGUGAGGUCUACUACACCUGUUGUAUUCAGCAUUUCACUGUAAGGUCUACUACACCUGUUGUAUUCAGCAUUUCACUGUGAGGUCUACUACACCUGUUGUAUUCAGCAUUUCACUGUAAGGUCUACUACACCUGUUGUAUUCAGCAUUUCACUGUAAGGUCUACACCUGUUGUAUUCAGCAUUUCACUGUAAGGUCUAAACCUGUUGUAUUCAGCAUUUCACUGUAAGGUCUAAACCUGUUGUAUUCAGCAUUUCACUGUAAGGUCUAAACCUGUUGUAUUCAGCAUUUCACUGUAAGGUCUACUACACCUGUUGUAUUCAGCAUUUCACUGUGAGGUCUACUACACCUGUUGUAUUCAGCAUUUCACUGUGAG